rfam:Ceratocystis platani strain CFO contig_00628, whole genome shotgun sequence.
ACAGACGGCCAUGGCGUAGAAAGCACGGGAUCCUGUCCGCUUUCUCCUAGUUAACCUAGAAAGCGCCGGAUCAGUACUACGGCGGGUGAUCAUGUAGGAAUCCCCAAUGUUGUAGUCU